rnacentral:rRNA from 1 species
AUUGAACGCUGGCGGAAUGCUUUACACAUGCAAGUCGAACGGCAGCACGGACUUCGGUCUGGUGGCGAGUGGCGAACGGGUGAGUAAUGUAUCGGAACGUGCCCAGUCGUGGGGGAUAACGUAGUGAAAAUUACGCUAAUACCGCAUACGAUCUAGGGAUGAAAGCGGGGGACCGCAAGACCUCGCGCGAUUGGAGCGGCCGAUAUCAGAUUAGGUAGUUGGUGGGGUAAAGGCCCACCAAGCCAACGAUCUGUAGCUGGUCUGAGAGGACGACCAGCCACACUGGAACUGAGACACGGUCCAGACUCCGACGGGAGGCAGCAAUGGGGAAUUUUGGACAAUGGGCGAAAGCCUGAUCCAGCCAUUCCGCGUGCAGGAUGAAGGCCCUCGGGUUGUAAACUGCUUUUGUACAGAACGAAAAGGUUUCUACUAAUACUAGGAGCUCAUGACGGUACUGUAAGAAUAAGCACCGGCUAACUACGUGCCAGCAGCCGCCGUAA